CGUAGGGGGCAAGCGUUGUCCGGAUUUAUUGGGCGUAAAGAGCGUGUAGGCGGCUUUACAGGUCCGUUGUGAAAACUCGAGGCUCAACCUCGAGACGCCGGUGGAAACCGUAAGGCUAGAGUCCGGAAGAGGAGAGUGGAAUUCCUGGUGUAGCGGUGAAGUGCGCAGAUAUCAGGAGGAACACCCGUGGCGAAAGCGGCUCUCUGGGACGGUACUGACGCUGAGACGCGAAAGCGUGGGGAGCAAACAGGAUUAGAUACCCUGGUAGUCCACGCCGUAAACGAUGGGUGCUAGGUGUGGGCGGUGUCGACUCCGUCCGUGCCGAAGCUAACGCAUUAAGCACCCCGCCUGGGGAGUACGGCCGCAAGGCUA
rnacentral:rRNA from 1 species